CUGAAGUUUGUGCAUGAUCAAGGACAGUAUUUGAUUAAAUAGAUAAAUAUUUAUUUUUUUAUUCCGGAAUAAGAAUCAAUUAACGACGUUGGAUUAAUUCCCCAAUAAAAAACUAAUUACACCUGUACAUAGCAUUAAUGUGGGAUAUAAAAAGACUCUGAUUCUGAUUAAAAAUUAUCAUUCUAUUUUGUGAUAUUCCGUCAUCAUGCAAUUCAACUUGAAAACAAUCUUCGCCAUCCUUGCCAUCUUCGGCCUUGUUAUGCCCGCCGCUUUGGGACUCCAAAAGGCCCAACACUCUAGAGACAGAAGAAGUGCUCGUCCUCUUCAAAAACAAAGACACUAAGGAUGCUCGAAGCCACUAUGAAAAAAAUUAUCUUUGCAACAUCAAAAAGUGUCUGUUUCUAAUUGUGUACCCAAGAUUUAGCAAUUAUGAAAUAUAAACAAUAACAUCAUAAAA
rnacentral:lncRNA from 1 species